rnacentral:rRNA from 1 species
CACGUAAGGGGCGAGCGUUGUUCGGAAUUAUUGGGCGUAAAGGGCGCGUAGGCGGUCCUGUAAGCCCGGCGUGAAAACCUGGAGCUCAACUCCGGGCCUGCGCUGGGAACUGCGGGACUAGAGUCAUGGAAGGGGAGUUGGAAUUCCAGGUGUAGGGGUGAAAUCUGUAGAUAUCUGGAAGAACACCGGUGGCGAAGGCGAACUUCUGGCCAAUGACUGACGCUGAGGCGCGAAAGUGCGGGGAG